rnacentral:rRNA from 1 species
GACGAACGCUGGCGGCGUGCCUAAUACAUGCAAGUCGAACGCUUCUUUUUUCCAUCGGAGCUUGCUCCACCGGAAAAAGAAGGAGUGGCGAACGGGUGAGUAACACGUGGGUAACCUGCCCAUCAGAAGGGGAUAACACUUGGAAACAGGUGCUAAUACCGUAUAACAAUCGAAACCGCAUGGUUUUUGAUUUGAAGGCGCUUUCGGGUGUCGCUGAUGGAUGGACCCGCGGUGCAUUAGCUAGUUGGUGAGGUAACGGCUCACCAAGGCGACGAUGCAUAGCCGACCUGAGAGGGUGAUCGGCCACAUUGGGACUGAGACACGGCCCAAACUCCUACGGGAGGCAGCAGUAGGGAAUCUUCGGCAAUGGACGAAAAGUCUGACCGAGCAACGCCGCGUGAGUGAAGAAGGUUUUCGGAUCGUAAAACUCUGUUGUUAGAGAAGAACAAGGAUGAGAGUAACUGUUCAUCCCUUGACGGUAUCUAAACCAG